rnacentral:lncRNA from 12 species
ACAGACAGGGAUCCUCCUCUUUCCUGGUCACACGAAGCACAAAGCACAAUGGGGAGCUGAGGCAACUCACAGGAGCUGUGCUCCAGGAAGGACAACAGCCACAGCCCAUCAGUGGGGAGGUCUAACAAAUACUGGCAAGCAAAGCUUACCCAGCUUUAACCUAGGAGACACCCUUGGGCCCUUGGGUUUGUUUCUGCCUGGAAAGCUCACCAGCUCCCCCAUAAAGAGAAGAAAUGGCAAUAGCGAGAGUAAAAGCAGCCUCCAGCACACAAGAAGCUUUUUGCUUCAGCAACCUGCCAGGCCACAAAAACGUGCUGCUUUAAAGAAGAAGACACAUUGUUACUGGAGAAGAUAGCCUCUGGGCAAUGGGAUUACAGCGAAUUCCAUCUUGGACAGCAGCUUGAUGAUACAGAUGGGGAAGAGCUCAGUGUUUGCCAUCAAACUUUC